rnacentral:tRNA from 1 species
GUAGCUGUAGCUCAGUGGUAGAGUGCUUGCCUAGCACAUGUGAGGCACUGGGUUCAAUCCUCAGCAGCACA